rnacentral:snRNA from 1 species
UUUGGUCAGUACUACUACG